rnacentral:rRNA from 1 species
GUUUGAUCAUGGCUCAGAUUGAACGCUGGCGGCAGGCUUAACACAUGCAAGUCGAACGGUAACAGGAAUUAGCUUGCUAAUUUGCUGACGAGUGGCGGACGGGUGAGUAAUGCUUGGGAACUUGCCUUUGCGAGGGGGAUAACAGUUGGAAACGACUGCUAAUACCGCAUAAUGUCUUCGGACCAAACGGGGCUUAGGCUCCGGCGCAGAGAGAGGCCCAAGUGAGAUUAGCUAGUUGGUAAGGUAAAGGCUUACCAAGGCGACGAUCUCUAGCUGGUCUGAGAGGAUGAUCAGCCACACUGGAACUGAGACACGGUCCAGACUCCUACGGGAGGCAGCAGUGGGGAAUAUUGCACAAUGGGCGAAAGCCUGAUGCAGCCAUGCCGCGUGUGUGAAGAAGGCUCUAGGGUUGUAAAGCACUUUCAGAAGGGAGGAAAGGUUGUAAGUUAAUACCUUGCAACUGUGACGUUACCUUCAGAAGAAGCACCGGCUAACUCCGUGCCAGCAGCCG